AUUGAACGCUGGCGGCAGGCCUAACACAUGCAAGUCGAGCGAGCGGCGGACGGGUGAGUAAGGUCUGGGAAACUGCCUGAUGGAGGGGGAUAACUACGGGAAACGGUAGCUAAUACCGCAUACCAUCAGAUGUGCCCAGAGGGGAUUAGCUAGUAGGUGGGGUAACUGCUCACCUAGGCGACGAUCCCUAGCUGGUCUGAGCGGAUGACCAGCAACACUGGAACUGAGACACGGUCCAGACUCCUACGGGAGGCAGCAGUGGGGAAUAUUGCACAAUGGGCGCAAGCCUGAUGCAGCCAUGCCGCGUGUGUGAAGAAGGCCUUCGGGUUGUAAAGCACUUUCAGCGGAGAGGCGUUACCCGCAGAAGAAGCACCGGCUAACUCCGUGCCAGCCGCCGCGGUAAUAC
rnacentral:rRNA from 1 species